GUGUGUACAAACUUGAAUAUGCCACAGUGAAUCUCCACGUUAAGUGUAUCCACAAGACACUGACUCAAAAAGUCUAUAAACGUAUUGCAGAAAGAUCAGUGGAGUGGAGGGAGGAAACGGGAAAGAGGAAGGUGCUGGGGACUGAAUUCCAUGCUUUUGUGAUUAUGUCAAAAUGUCUCCUAAUAUAUAACUAAAAAGACUCAACAAAAAAGAAAAAACACAUUUAAUAGGCCCAAAUAUAUGUUAUCAUAUGGUUUAAGAAGCCAGGUGUGCUUGGAACUUCAGGUUACCAUGACAACCAAGUGAUCAGACAAAGCCAGUUAACAUUCCACGCCAUUUUCUGAUGAAGAAAAGCAUCCUAAGCAAUGGACGCUAUACCAGGGUAUACACCAAGAUAUACACCAGUGCUUCCUGAUUGGCCGACCUCCUAAAGUGUGCAUUAGUAAUUUCAAAACAUCUUUACUUUUUCUUUUUGUUAAAUAUUUAUUUAAGUCACAUGAACUAAAAGGCACUUGGACCCAUUUCUUUUCUAUCUGUGAGCACUCAUUUAUCUAUAAGCCAAUUUUGGUACCAGGCAAAUGUUCAGAGACACAAGCGUCUACACAGACACAAACCUCAGCAUGAAGGUGUGCAUCAAUGUAGUGAGAACAGACAGGGAAUAUUACACAGAAUUCGGAUUUUACUCUGUAGAAAGUAAAACAGAGCCUGGCACAGAUGUCCGUUGUAUUUGAGAGUUAAUUGGCCUCCGAAUAAAGACAGCAGGAAACAAAACAAAAAACCCAAACAGAGAGGACCCAAAACUCCAGUUAGAGAAACAAAGCAAAUCAGAACGGAAAGAACAGGACCCAGGUAAAUUCACAGAACAACCAUGCGCUCCAAAGACAAGUUUUUCUUUUUAAAUCUGCAGCCGUAAUCACUGAGUUGAGGAGCGUGUGGGACACCAACAGCACAACAGGGUGAGCUGUGGAUCAGACUAAAGUCAGUCAGAUUCUUAGAGAAUGUGGGAGCCCACGAAGUCCCCAGGAAGGGUUUUUAAGAAGGAAAACUUGUGCAUAUGGGGUCUUUUGAUCUUUCUUCCCUGUGCUCAUCUAGACAGAAAAGAAGACCCACAGGAUUCAGGGCACCUGUGGACAGGCCUGUUGUGUCAGCUUCCUGAAGCGGAGUCCCUGUAACGUGGGACAAUGCCCGUAUGCUGUCCUCCGAGCACACCGUGCCUCUGCAGCAUCGUCCAGGGUCGGGUGCAGCCUGGAGCAGGGGCCUUUCCAGAUUUCCUCCCUCUGUGUCUCCUGCUUUUUCCAGCAUUUAGGAGGGAAUUUACCGAAAGCAGAAUCUCAGUGCACAAGAAAGAAGAGUCUUCUAUGUGCCACAGAAGCUUGGAUUUGAAAGGGACGUUUUCUCUUUUCUUCCAUUGGGCCACUUGCUCAUGCAGCUUUGAUUCCAGAUGGACAAAAAUCACAGGGGGUUAAUGUUCGGUACCCUGGGGGAAUGUCAGGGCCAGACUUGGACAUGAGACCCUCAAGCAGCCUGGGGAGUGGCCCAGGAUUAGCCUUUGACUGGUCUCAAACCUUCCUCUGUCCCCCUUCCUCUGUCCCCCUACACCAGUCUUAUCCCACAAAAAUGAGACCGAGACCACGUUCGUCAGGACCAGUGUUCCCAGGGCCUAGGUCAGGAGGGUUGGUCCUGUCUGCCCAGAAAGCCUGUCAUGCGACUCCUGUAGGUGGGCCGUUGUGCCAUUAGCUCUGGUUUUUGUUUCAGGAAGAGAGAGAGAGUCAGUGGUCAGCUUCAGUCACCCUCUGCAGAUCCCAGAUGAGUCCCCAAAAUAUGUCACCUGGAGCAUGGAGUCAGGUGGGUUCUUGGUCUUGUGAACUGAGAAGGUGGUCUUCCCGGAUGGUGACAAACGGAAGCAAAGUGGAAGAAUUCACCAAAGCAAAGCUCCUGCAUCUUGGAGGGGCCCAGAGAGCGUUGCCGUGGUGGCUGUGUCCAGGGCUUCGGGUGGAUCCACGGUCUGUGGGUUUAAAGCAGUCAGAAUAUUGAUCAGGCGUUCUCCUUCUGUGGAGAGGCCAUGGCUCCACGUGUCCUGUUUUAAAUGACCUUUUCUGCAAGUUUCCCACUGAAGGCUACAGCUGCAAUCUGUGCUCUGCCGUCCAGGAAGUUGCCAGGGUCCAUUUCCCUGGGUCUGGCCUUACCUCUUCCUCAUGACCUCACACUGACCUUUCUUGUAACUUCAUCAGUAUUUCUGACGCCUGUGGUCAGCAGGAAGCCCGUCUGCAUCCGCUUUUCCCUAAGUGUUGCCUGGACAGUGAGUCAGUGGGCACUGGGAUUCUGGGGCUGCUGUGACCAGUGUCACACGGGUGUCCUAAGAGUGGAAAUGAGCUAUCAAGCAGUCCUGGGGCUGCCUGGGCCCCAGUCUCCCUGGGCUCUGGAGGAGCCAGCACCCCUGUCCCUCCUGGCCUCGGAGGUUCCAGCGAUCCUCGGGCUCUCUGCUGGCAGAUGGGUCAUUCCCAUUUCUUCUGCCUCCAUCACGGCACGGUGUUGUCCCUGUGUCCAACUGUCUCCCUCUCCUACGGACACUGAUGGUUGGAUGAGGCCUCCGUCAUCCAGGGUGACCUCAUCUUAACUUGAUCCCACCUGCAGCAAGAACCCUGCUUCCAAAUGAAGUCACAUCCUGGGCACUGGGUGGGCUGGACGUGGGCUCACCUUCUGAGAGAUUGGGGGGGGGGCCUCGUCUGCCAGUGCAUCUUCUCUCUGGCUUUGGAAACCAGAAACUCCUUUUGAAGGUGCACCACAUUUGCUUGUCAGCUUUACCCAUCAGGGUACGAUCUGCCAGUCACCAAGGUCGCUGCAUGCUCGGACAAGCCACCCUCCAGAGGGUAGGACACGGGUCAGCAGAGAAGGCAAGGCCACGUGGAAUUAGAUUUAAAAGCAUCCGUUAAUAUAACUGAUAACUCAAUAACUGACAUCAAGACCCCGGAAAGUCCAAUGACAUGGACCCAGAGCCCACACACUGAGUUAUUGAAGAGGUGUUUUUCUCAGACAUCUGUCCUGUGUAUCUCAAGCUUUGGGGAGCAAGAUGUGCUUCUUCCUGGUCACCACUGUUUUUGUUCUGGUUCUCUUUCAUUCUCACCUUUGAGCACAGGCUCUUGAUGAAAUGGGUGUUGUUUCUCCUACCCACCAAGCCGUACUCUGAGACGGCUUCUUGUGGGACUGUGACCGUCCUGAUUCCCGAGGGUCUCUUUGGCAGCACAAAUCGGCAGGAAGAGGUGUCCCUGGGGAAGGUGUUCUUUCAUUGGCAUGGAUCCACCCUGGACUCCGGGAGGAGAGUGCGCAGCAGUGUUCUAGUGAAAACAGACUGGGGUGAAGGGAGGGGGCGCAGCUGCAGCUCUGGGGAGGCCCCCGCAGGCACGUCUCCCACCAGGGCUCCACGGGCAGUCAGAGCUGCAGACCCACCGACCUCCCAGCAGAGAGCGCUCUUCUGGCCUGUGCGAGGCAGGUCCCCUGCUUCACUGUGGGCUCUUUUUAAGAUGUCCAUUGCCCGAACCCUGUCGUGCUUGUCCAGGGGGACUCCCUGAGGCUCCCGCUCAGUGCAUAGGAUGUACUCUCUGCUUUGAAAUCGACAGUGAUAAAGAAUUAAAAAGUAGCAUUAGUUUGGGUUGAGAUCCUAUAUUUGAAAAAUUUAACAUGUGUGAUUG
rnacentral:lncRNA from 1 species